CCUACGGGGGGCUGCAGUGGGGGAUAUUGGACAAUGGGGGGAACCCUGAUCCAGCGACGCCGCGUGAGUGAAGAAGUAUUUCGGUAUGUAAAGCUCUGUCAGCAGGGACGCAAGAAAUGACGGUACCUGCCCAAGAAGCGCCGGCUAACUACGUGCCAGCAGCCGCGGGUAUACGUAGGGGGCAAGCGUUAUCCGGAAGUACUGGGUGUAAAGGGAGCGUAGACGGUUAAGUAAGUCUGGAGUGAAAGGCCGGGGCCCAACCCCGGGACAGCUCUGGAAACUAGUGAACUUGAGUGCAGGAGAGGUAAGCGGAAUUCGCAGUGUAGCGGUGAAAUGCGUAGAUAUUAGGAGGAACACCAGUGGCGAAGGCGGCUCACUGGAGUGUAACUGACGCUGAGGCUCGAAAGCGUGGGGAGCAAACAGGAUUAGAUACCCGUGUAGUC
rnacentral:rRNA from 1 species